GGUCCCGCCUGCCCUGUGACCCCCAGUUUAACGGCCGCGGUAUUUUGACCGUGCAAAGGUAGCGCAAUCACUUGUCCCUUAAAUGAGGACCUGUAUGAAUGGCACAACGAGGGCUUAACUGUCUCCUUUCCCCGGUCAAUGAAAUUGAUCUUCCCGUGCAGAAGCGGGAAUUCUAACAUAAGACGAGAAGACCCUAUGGAGCUUUAGACUCCAGAAUAGACCAUGUCAGCUAUUCCCGUUAAACAUAAUAGCAACUAUUGAGCCUCUAUUCUCUGUCUUUGGUUGGGGCGACCACGGGGAAGAAAAAAUCCCCCAUGUGGACCGGGAGCACCAAUCUCACUCCCACAACCACGAGCCACAGCUCUAAUGCGCAGAACUUCUGACCAUACAGAUCCGGCAACUAGCCGAUCAACGGACCGAGUUACCCUAGGGAUAACAGCGCAAUCCCCUUUAAGAGUCCCUAUCGACAAGGGGGUUUACGACCUCGAUGUUGGAUCAAGACAUCCUAAUGGUGCAGCCGCUAUUAAGGGUUCGUUUGUUCAACGAUUAAAGUCUU
rnacentral:rRNA from 1 species